rnacentral:rRNA from 1 species
AUUGAACGCUGGCGGCAGGCUUAACACAUGCAAGUCGAGCGGAGAGAGGUAGCUUGCUACUGAUCUUAGCGGCGGACGGGUGAGUAAUGCUUAGGAAUCUGCCUAUUAGUGGGGGACAACAUUUCGAAAGGAAUGCUAAUACCGCAUACGACCUACGGGAGAAAGCAGGGGAUCUUCGGACCUUGCGCUAAUAGAUGAGCCUAAGUCGGAUUAGCUAGUUGGUGGGGUAAAGGCCUACCAAGGCGACGAUCUGUAGCGGGUCUGAGAGGAUGAUCCGCCACACUGGGACUGAGACACGGCCCAGACUCCUACGGGAGGCAGCAGUGGGGAAUAUUGGACAAUGGGCGCAAGCCUGAUCCAGCCAUGCCGCGUGUGUGAAGAAGGCCUUAUGGUUGUAAAGCACUUUAAGCGAGGAGAAGGCUACUUUAGAUAAUACCUAGAGAUAGUGGACGUUACUCGCAGAAUAAGCACCGGCUAACUCUGUGCCAGCCGCCGCCGUAA